rnacentral:rRNA from 1 species
UGGUUUCUAUCUCAAAUGAUUGAUAAUAUCCUAGUACGAAAGGAUUGGGUAUUAAAUUUAAAAUUUUAUUGUUGAAUAAUAUU